ACGCUCGACCCUACGAGAGACAGCAGUGGGGAAUAUUGCACAAUGGGGGAAACCCUGAUGCAGCAACGCCGCGUGAAGGAAGACGGUUUUCGGAUUGUAAACUUCUGUUCUUAGUGAAGAUAGUGACGGUAGCUAAGGAGCAAGCCACGGCUAACUACGUGCCAGUAGCCGCGGUAAUCUGAGCGGGCUGGCAAGGC
rnacentral:rRNA from 1 species